rnacentral:rRNA from 1 species
GCAUAUCAAUAAGCGGAGGAAAAGAAACUAACAAGGAUUCCCCUAGUAACGGCGAGUGAAGCGGGAAAAGCUCAAAUUUUAAAUCGAAUAGGGUACCUUAUUCGAGUUGUAUUUUCAAGAGACGUUUUCGGAUCGCGCCUGGGUAUAAGUCCUUUGGAACAGGGCAUCAUAGAGGGUGAGAAUCCCGUUUAUGACCCGGAGCGGCGGUCUAUGUGAUACGUUUUCAAAGAGUCAGGUUGUUUGGGAAUGCAGCCUAAAAUGGGUGGUAAAUUUCAUCUAAAGCUAAAUAUUGGCGAGAGACCGAUAGCGAACAAGUACCGUGAGGGAAAGAUGAAAAGAACUUUGAAAAGAGAGUUAAACAGUACGUGAAAUUGUUGAAAGGGAAACGUUUGAAAUCAGUCAUGUAAACGAGUAAUCAGCUUGGCUUUUGCCUUGUGCACUUUCUCGUUCGCAGGUCAGCGUCAGUUUUGAUACUAGUCGGAUAAAAAAUCAAGGGAAUGUGGCUCUCUUUUACGAGGGAGUGUUAUAGCCCUGGUUAUAAUACGAUGGUUAAGACUGAGGUCUGCAGCCAAUACCCUUUAUGGGCUGGAUAUUUCUUUUGCUCAUGGGUAACCGAGUUUAGACAGCUUGCUGACUAGGUUUGAAUUGCCUGUGACUCGAUUGAAUUUUAUUACAAAUUGGCUUAGGUCGCUGACUUAAUGGUUUUAAAUGACCCGUCUUGAAACACGGACCAAGGAGUCUAACAUAUAUGCAAGUGUUUGAGUGUCAAACUCAUGCGCGUAAUGAAAGUGAAUGUAGGUGAGAUCCUUUUUGAAAUAUUUAAUUGGAGCAUCAUCGACCGAUC